CGCCGGGCAGGGCGGCUUCCCAACCCCCGACGAUGCUGGCUUCGGCGGUGGACGCCCGGGGGCAUCGGGCUUCGGCGCC
rnacentral:tRNA from 1 species